rnacentral:rRNA from 1 species
CCUACGGGUGGCAGCAGUGGGGGAUAUUGCACAAUGGGGGAAACCCUGAUGCAGCAACGCCGCGUGUGGGAAGAAGCUUUUCGGAUUGUAAACCACUGUUCUCGGGGAAGAUGAUGACGGUAACCAAGGAGAAAGCUCCGGCUAACUACGUGCCAGCAGCCGCGGUAAUACGUAGGGAGCAAGCGUUGUCCGGAUUUACUGGGUGUAAAGGGUGCGUAGGCGGUCUUGCAAGUCAGACGUGAAAACCACAGGCGCAACCCGGGGACUGCGUUUGAAACUGUGGGGCUUGAGUACAGGAGGGGUAGGCGGAAUUCCCGGUGUAGCGGUGAAAUGCGUAGAGAUCGGGAGGAACACCAGUGGCGAAGGCGGCCUGCUGGGCUUUAACUGACGCUGAGGCACGAAAGCAUGGGGAGCAAACAGGAUUAGAUACCCUUGUAGUC